rnacentral:rRNA from 1 species
AUUGAACGCUGGCGGCAGGCCUAACACAUGCAAGUCGAGCGGUAGCACAGAGAGCUUGCUCUCGGGUGACGAGCGGCGGACGGGUGAGUAAUGUCUGGGAAACUGCCUGAUGGAGGGGGAUAACUACUGGAAACGGUAGCUAAUACCGCAUAACGUCGCAAGACCAAAGUGGGGGACCUUCGGGCCUCAUGCCAUCAGAUGUGCCCAGAUGGGAUUAGCUAGUAGGUGGGGUAACGGCUCACCUAGGCGACGAUCCCUAGCUGGUCUGAGAGGAUGACCAGCCACACUGGAACUGAGACACGGUCCAGACUCCUACGGGAGGCAGCAGUGGGGAAUAUUGCACAAUGGGCGCAAGCCUGAUGCAGCCAUGCCGCGUGUGUGAAGAAGGCCUUCGGGUUGUAAAGCACUUUCAGCGGGGAGGAAGGCGGUGAGGUUAAUAACCUCAUCGAUUGACGUUACCCGCAGAAGAAGCACCGGCUAACUCCGUGCCAGCAGCCGCGGUAGUACGGAGGGUGCAAGCGUUAAUCGGAAUUACUGGGCGUAAAGCGCACGCAGGCGGUCUGUCAAGUCGGAUGUGAAAUCCCCGGGCUCAACCUGGGAACUGCAUUCGAAACUGGCAGGCUAGAGUCUUGUAGAGGGGGGUAGAAUUCCAGGUGUAGCGGUGAAAUGCGUAGAGAUCUGGAGGAAUACCGGUGGCGAAGGCGGCCCCCUGGACAAAGACUGACGCUCAGGUGCGAAAGCGUGGGGAGCAAACAGGAUUAGAUACCCUGGUAGUCCACGCCGUAAACGAUGUCGAUUUGGAGGUUGUGCCCUUGAGGCGUGGCUUCCGGAGCUAACGCGUUAAAUCGACCGCCUGGGGAGUACGGCCGCAAGGUUAAAACUCAAAUGAAUUGACGGGGGCCCGCACAAGCGGUGGAGCAUGUGGUUUAAUUCGAUGCAACGCGAAGAACCUUACCUGGUCUUGACAUCCACAGAACUUAGCAGAGAUGCUUUGGUGCCUUCGGGAACUGUGAGACAGGUGCUGCAUGGCUGUCGUCAGCUCGUGUUGUGAAAUGUUGGGUUAAGUCCCGCAACGAGCGCAACCCUUAUCCUUUGUUGCCAGCGGUCCGGCCGGGAACUCAAAGGAGACUGCCAGUGAUAAACUGGAGGAAGGUGGGGAUGACGUCAAGUCAUCAUGGCCCUUACGACCAGGGCUACACACGUGCUACAAUGGCAUAUACAAAGAGAAGCGACCUCGCGAGAGCAAGCGGACCUCAUAAAGUAUGUCGUAGUCCGGAUUGGAGUCUGCAACUCGACUCCAUGAAGUCGGAAUCGCUAGUAAUCGUAGAUCAGAAUGCUACGGUGAAUACGUUCCCGGGCCUUGUACACACCGCCCGUCACACCAUGGGAGUGGGUUGCAAAAGAAGUAGGUAGCUUAACCUUCGGGAGGGCGCUUACCACUUUGUGAUUCAUGACUGGGGUGA